UACGUAGGGUGCGAGCGUUGUCCGGAAUUAUUGGGCGUAAAGGGCUCGUAGGCGGUUUGUCGCGUCGGGAGUGAAAACACUGGGCUUAACUCAGUGCUUGCUUCCGAUACGGGCAGACUAGAGGUAUGCAGGGGAGAACGGAAUUCCUGGUGUAGCGGUGAAAUGCGUAGAUAUCUGGAGGAACACCGGUGGCGAAGGCGGCAUUCUGGACCGAUAUUGACGCUGAGGAGCGAAAGCCAGGGGAGCAAACGGG
rnacentral:rRNA from 1 species